GAUGAAGAACGCAGCAAAAUGCGAUAAGUAAUGUGAAUUGCAGAAUUCAGUGAAUCAUCGAAUCUUUGAACGCACAUUGCGCCCGCCAGUAUUCUGGCGGGCAUGCCUGUUCGAGCGUCAUUUCAACCCUCAAGCACAGCUUGGUGUUGGGACUCGCGUUAAUUCGCGUUCCCCAAAUUGAUUGGCGGUCACGUCGAGCUUCCAUAGCGUAGUAGUAAAACCCUCGUUACUGGUAAUCAUCGCGGCCACGCCGUUAAACCCCAACUUCUGAAUGUUGACCUCGGAUCAGGUAGGAAUACCCGCUGAACUUAAGCAUAUCAAUAAGCGGAGGA
rnacentral:misc_RNA from 1 species